ensembl:lncRNA
CUAGCCUAUCUAUCUACUUAUUUUUAUUGUGGUAACAUACACACAAUAUAAAAUUGACAUUUUUGACCAUUUUCAAGUGUAAUUUUCAGUGACAUUAAGUAUAUUCUCAUUGCUGUGCAACCAUCACCAGUAUCCAUCUCCAGAACUUUUUCAUUUUCCCAGAUUGAAACUCUUCACCCCUUAAAUGCUGACUCCUCCUUCCCCUCCCCCAGCCCCUGGCAACCCCCAUUCUCCUUCCUGUGCCUUGGCUUUGACUUUGAGUGUUAUGGGAGCUGUUGGUGCAUUUUGAAGAGAGAAGUGCUAUGAUUCGACUUUUUUAAUAGGCGCCUUCCGGCUGCUGGGUUGAGAAGGUUCUGAAGGAACGAAGCGGCAGAAGCAAGGAAGCUAGUCAGGAGGCUGCUGUGAUAAUCUGGGUGAGAGGAGAGGGUGACUGGGAUCAGGGUGGUUGCAGGGGACGUGGUGAGACGUGGGACUAUGCUGAAGGCAGAGCCAACAAGACUGCCUGAUGGAUUUGAUGUGGGCUUUGAGAGAAAAGGAGGAAUCAAGGAUGACUCCAAGAUUUUUUGGGCUAAGCAACUGGAAGAACAGAUUUGCCAUAAAGUUAAGUGGGGAAAGAUUCAGAGGAGGAAGUUUUCUGGGGGAAGACCAGGAGCUCAGUGUUGGACAUGCCCAGAGUGAGAUAGCUUAUUAAAUGUUCCAGCUACAAUGUUGAAGAGAGAGCCAAAUCUGGAGUUCAUAGCAGCCAAACUGAAGAUAGGGAUUUGCAAGUAAUCAGUGUGCAGAUGGUAUCUGAUGCCACGAGACUGAGUUCACCAAAGUAGCAAGAACAGCCAAAAAAACAAGCCCUGGGAGCGAGCUUGAAGAUGCUGCAAGGUUAAGAGGUCAGGGAUACAAGGAGGGAUCAGGAAGAAGCAGCUAAGGAAGAGGACAACCAGGAGGAUGUGUCUUUGUGGAAUUCCAGUGAAGGCGCUGUCCCAAGGAGAUCAAUAUAAUCAGUGGUGUGUGCCUGAUAGGAUCUGUCUGCAGACCUGCUGAGUGUGAGGGUCACUGGCAGGUCAGAGAGUGCAGCUGAACUAUGAGGAAUCGAGAUUGAGGAGCAGUUUAGACAGGGCCAGGGUGUCGGGGAAAGGGCCCUAAGGAAUGAGUGGGAAUUUGUGGAUUAGGGAAAACAGCUGCCCAGAGGUGUCCAUUUUGGACCCCAGAUGCUGGGGUUAAUCCCCAGAGUAAAGGAGACCAAGGCAGUGGUGGGACAUGGGAAUGCAGCAAUCCUCCUGGGACCUCAGGCUCUGCCCCAUAAGAAGGUCUCCCAUGAGCUCUGAGGCUGCUGGUGCAGCUCUCCUCAGUCAGAUGGACCGACUGGCUGCCAGCCUGAUGGUGAGAGCUGAUGAUGGUAGGAGCUGCUAAAAUGAGGUCAGGUCUGUGUUAUGGGCUGAAUCGUGCCCCCUACCCCCACCCCCCAAUUUAUGUGUUGAAACAUUAACCCCCAGUAUCUCAGAGUAUAACUGUAUUUGGAGUCAAGGUCUUUAAAGAGGUGAUUGAGUGAAAUGAGGCCUUUAGAGUGGGCCCUAAUCCAAUCUGACGGGGUCCUUAUAAGAAGAGGAGAUGUAGAAACCAGAGAAGCACACAGAGAGGGGAAAAGGCCAUGUGGGACACAGCGAGAAGACAACCAUCUGCAAGCCAAAGAGAGAGGCCUCAGAGGAAACCAACAUUUCCAACACCUGGAUCUUGAAUUUCCAGCCUCCAGAACCAUGAGAAAAUAAAUUUCUGCUGUUUAGGUCACCCAGUCUGUGGGAAGACCUGCAAGGCAAGAAACUGAGGAUGGCUUCUGGCCAAAAGCCAGCUUGAACUGGGGCCCUCAGUCCCACAGCCCAAAAGGAGCAGAAUCCUUCCGACAACCACCCAAGUGAGCUUGGAGGCGCAUCCUUCCCCAGCUGAGCCUUCAGGUAAGACCACAACCUUGGCUGACACCUUGAGUGCAGCCUUGUGAGAGACUCUGAAGCAGAAGGCAGCAAAGCUGUGUCCAGAUUCCUGACCCACAGAAACUGUGUGAUAAUAGAUGUGUAUUGUUUUAAGGUGCUAAGUGUGUGCUCAUUUAUUACUCAGCAGGAGAUAAACAAUACAAUCCUGAAAUAGGUCCUUGGGAAAUAGAAGUUUGGACAGAUCUCCAAGAUUUCUUUCAGUGCAAACUUUCUACGGAACAGAUUAAGAGCCCACAGUCAGUACUCUUGGAUUGGUUAGCUUGUGGCUGCCCAUUGAUGCCUUGUUUAAAAGCCAGCUUUUUGUGUUUCAGAUUUUUGCAGAAGGCAGCUGGAGUUUGUUAAAUAGAGUCUCCCCAAAAUUCAUGUCCAUCCAGAACCUCAGAGUGUGACCUUAUUUGGAGGCAGGGUCUUUGUAGAUGUAUUAGGUUGAGAUUAUACUGGAUGAGGGUUGACCCUAAAUCCAAUGACUGGUGUCCUUGUAAGAAGAGGAGAGGACACAAAGAAACAUACAGAGAAGAAGGAGAUAUGAAGACAGAGGCAGAGAUUAGAGUGAUCAGCUACAAGCCGAAGAGCGCGAGGAUUGCCAAGAGUCACCAAAAGCUGGGAGAGAGGCAAGGAAGGAUUUUUUCCUAGAUCCGUUGAAGGGAGUGUGGUCCUGCUGACACCUUGAAUUUGGACUUCUGACUUCCAGAACUGUGAGAGAACACAUUUCUAUUGUUCUAAGCCAGCUAGUUUGUGGUAAUUUGUCAUGGCAGCCCUAAGAGACUAAUACAAUAGCAUAUUUACAUUUUUAAACUCAUGUAUGCCAUACAGAAGUCACUGGGAUUCUUGGAAUUUUCAUGAAGAAUUAUACAUAUUCCAUUAUGUGGCUAUGAAGAAGAAUGAUUUUGAAGAUUCUAGGUAAUUUAGAAAACUGCUUAUGAUACAAUGUUCAGAGCAGAAAGCAGAAAUAGUUUGUGUAUUUCCUGGCCUGCUGUCAGGCCUGAUUUAUCUGAGGCACCCUCAGACCAGUUCCCAUUUCAGGAGGACCCGAGGGCAGGAUGAAGGGUGGGGAGGUCAGAGCCCUUGAACAGGGACCCUGGACCGCUCAGCACAAGGCACAGACUUCACAGCGCAGCAAAACUCUGCUUGUUUCUUCAGAAGUCAUUACGAAAGGUCUUUUUGGCAUUUUUGCUUCCUUUCUGGAGCUUUGGCCCACGCAGCGACCUCAGUGUCUCCUGACCAUGGAGUCACGUGCCUUUCUCUACUGUGGAGUUUGAGCUUUAUAAAGCCCCAGCUCUUUGGCAAUAGAGAGCGCGUGGGCCUGACAUCAGCAGUGGGGCGAAGUCUUUCUUCGGCUUUCCAUCCAUGUCCACAUGAUACCAAUGACUUCUGGUGGACUCCUGAUUUGACCCUCCGAUAGAGGAAGCUGCACUACGCAGAUUCUCCUGAGACAGGCCCUUAAAUGCUGAGCACAGCACUAGGUAGGCCUUCAGAGUUUACAAAGCUUCCCCAAAUACACUCCCAUUAGAGCCCCACAGCCACCCUGGAGGCAGGCAUCUCAAGUCCAUUUCACAGAGGAGAAGAUCUGUGUUCAGUGGGAGAAUGGGGAAAAGUAUGGUUCGAGGACAUAACCAGCAUGUGUUAAGUCUCCUCCUGGGACCAGCACUGUGUUGGAUGCUUUAUACACAUUUGAUCCUUUAAGGGAACUUGUGAGGCAAGUUGUAUUUUCAUGCUAUUUUUCUUUAAAGAUAGGAUAACUGUGAUGGACUGCAUGUUUGUGUCCCCCACCAAUUGACAUGUUGAAACCCUAACCCCCAAUGGGAUGGUAUUUGGAGGUGGGGCCUUUGAGAGGUGAUUAGGUUUAUAUGAGGUUACAAGUGGAGCCCCCACGAUGGGAUCAGUGUCCUCAUAAGAAGAGGAAGAGAUCAAGAGCUCUCUCUCCACCAUGUGAGGACAUAGCAGGAAGGCCGCUGUCUACAAGCCAGGAAGAGGCCUCUCACCAGACACUGGAUCUGCUGGCACCUUGACCUUGGACUUCCAGCCUCCAGAACUGUGAGAAAUAGAUGUUUGCUGCUUAAGCUGCCCAGUUGACGGUAUUCUUGUUAUAGUGGUGCAAACACACAACAACUAGGCUCAAAGAGGAAAGUGACACAGCAAUAAGUGGAAGAGCAGGAACUGAAACUCAGCUCUCUGUCUUGUGUUUAGUGCUUUUUCCCAUCACUACCUCCAUUAGCUAUCUUUUGCUGAACAACAGAUCACCCCAAAACAGUAGUUUAAAACAAUGACGAUAAUUUACGAUCUCACAGUUUCUAUGGAUUAGAAAUUUGGGAGCAGUUGGAGCUGGGCUAUUCUGGCUCAGAGUCUUUCAUGGAAUCCCAGGCAGGAUGUCAGCCAGGGCCUGCUGUCAUCGGAAGACUUGAUGGCAGACUCACAUGACUGACAAAGUGGUGCUGGCUGUUGGCAGAAGGCCUCAGUUUCUCUCCCCCAGGGCUGCUUGAGUGUCCUCACAACAUGGCGGCUGGCUUCCCCAAGUGAAUGAUCCAUGAGAGAGCAAGACAGAAGCCACAACGUCUUUUACGACUUUGCCUCAGAAGCCAAAUGGUCAUUUCUGCAAUAUCCCCUUGGUUGUAAUUAUACUUCAUAAUUUUUUUGAUGCUCUGAUGCAGUUUUAAAGAUUUUAUUUUUAUUUUUCCUUUUUCUCCCCAAAGUCCCCUGGUACAUAGUUGCAUAUUUUUAAUUGUAGGUCCUUCUAGUUGUGGCAUGUGGGAUGCUGCCUCAGCAUGGCCUGAUGAGCGGUGCCAUGUCCAUGCCCAGGAUCCGAACCGGCAAAACCCUGGGCCGCUGAAGCGGAUUGCGCGAACUUAACCACUUGGCCAUGGGGCUCACCCCUCUGAUGCAGUUUUAAACAACUAUUUUGAAGUAUAAUUGAUUUAUGGUCAACUACACAUAUAUGCAGUGUACAAUUUGGUGGGCUUUGACAUAUGCCUACAUCAAUGAAACGAUCACCAUAAUGAAGAUAACGAAUACUUCCAUCACCCCCAAAAGUUUCCUUAUGCCCCUUAGUAAACUACCCCUACUUCUACUCCUGCCCCCAGGCAACCACUGAUAUGCUAUCUGUUACUAAGUAUUAGUUUUCAUUUUCAAGAAUUUUUUUUUUUAGUGAGGAAGAUUGGCCCAGAGCUAACAUCUGUUGCCAAUCUUCCUCUUUUUGCUUGAGGAAGAUUGGCCCUGAGCUAACAUCUGUGCCGAUCUUCCUCUAUUUUGUAUGUGGGAUGCCACCACAGCAUGACUUGAUGAGCAGUGUGUAGAUCUGCUCCUGGGAUCUGAACCCACGAACCUUGGGCCGCCGAAGUGGAGCACACAAACUUAACCACUAUGCCACUGAGCUGGCCCCCCAUUUAAUUAAAUGGAACCACGCAGUACAUUCUCUUUUACAUCUGGCUUCUUUCUUUCAAUGUAAUGAUUUUGACAACCAUCCACGUUGUUAUGUAUAUCAAUAGUGCGUUCCUUUUUAAAUAUUAAAAAAUUUUAAUAGCUUUAUUAAGGUAUAAUUGACUUAUAAUAAAUUGCCUGUAUUUAACAUGUAUGCAUUGAUAAGUUUUGACCCACGAAUAUACACCAUGAAACCAUCACAUUAACCAAGAUAAUGAAAAUGUCCAUCACCUCCAAAAGUUUUCUUAUGCCCCUUCAUAAUCCCUCCCUCCUGCUUUUCUCUCUAUCCCCAACCCAGGAAACCACCGAUCUUGCUCUCACAAUGAAUUUGAUUGCAUUUUCUAGAAUUUUAUACAAAUAGAAUCAUACAGUAUUUCUUAUUUGGAGAUUCAUCUAUGGAGGUGCAUAUGUCAACAGUUCACUCUUUUUUAUUGCUGAGUACUAUUCCAUUGAAUAGAUAGGUCAUGAUUUGUUUACCUGUCCCUGUCAAUGGAGGUUUGGGUUGUUUCCACUUCUUGGCUGUUGUAAAGAAAGCUGCUACGAACAUUCAAAUGCAAGUCUUCGUGUGAACAGAUAUUUUAAUUUCUCUUGGGUACAUACCUAAAAGUGGAAUGGCUAGGUCAUACGUAAGUGUGCUGAACUUUUUAAGAAACCGUGAAGCUGUUUUGAAGUGCUGGUACCAUUUUACAUUCCCACCAGCAGUGUGUGAGAGCUCCCGUUGUUCCCCAUCCCUACCAACACUUGGUGUGGGCGGUCUUUCAGUGCAGUCAUUCCAGUGGGGCUGUGUGGUAUCUCAUCGUGGUUUUAAUGUGCCUUUCCCUGACAACUAAUGUGCUUAUUAGCCAUUCAUAUAUUGCCUUUUGUGAAGUAUUUAUUCACACCUUUUGCCCAUUUUUGAAACUAAACUGUUUAUCUUCUUCUGAGUGAAUAAAAGCAAAGUACAGAGAGUGUUAUAAACAUGUAAGUUAUUUAUACAGGAAGAGUGGGCCCUGUCUGGUUUCCCUCCUGGCCUCUAUAGCUCCCUGCCCACAUUGUGACCAGAAAUCUGUUGCUGGUGGAGGGGAAUUGUAAGGACCUGGGCAAAUGCAGCAAAGAGGGUCACACGGCAGAGGAGGCGGGGUAGAUAUGAGGUUGGCAGGUAUCUUAUGGCAUCAUAACCUCAUAUGACUGGGAAGGUCAUUGAGUCUGGGCACCUCUUACCACUUCUUUUUUGGUGAGGAAGAUUGGCCCCGACCUAGCAUCUGUUGCCCAUCUUCCUCUUUUUCCUUGAGGAGGUUUGUCACUGAGCUAACAUCUGUCCCAAUCUUCCUCUAUUUUGUGUGUGGGAUGCCACCACAGCAUGGUUUGACGAGCAGUGUGUAGGUCUGCGCCCAGGAUCUGAACUGGUGAACCCGGGCCGCCAAAGCAGAGUGAGCGAACUUAACCACUGUGCCACCGGGCUGACCCCACUUUCCACCUUUUGAUCCCAGCUCCCUUAUGGCUCCUGGUUGAAAAUCCUUCAAACUAUGGAUAUAUAAAUUACCAGGAAAUUUGGCUGCAAAGUGUAAACACUGUAGAUGAAUCCCAUCUCCAAACUGAUGCCCAAGUAAGGCAGAAGUAGCGGGGGGUGUGGGUUGGGUGGUCUUUGCUCUGCCCCCUGAGAGUGGUUUUGCACAUCACCGGGCACUUUACCAACAGUGACGAUUAGGAUGAGGAUUCUAACUAUUCUUUACACUGAUCGAGCAUGAAACAGUUUUAACAGCAUGCCCUUGCCUAUUCUACUUCUUCCGUCUGAGAUGGGCUUGGCAUCGGUCAGUGAGCC